rnacentral:lncRNA from 1 species
UUCCACUGCAAGAGGCUCAGUUAGUUUGAUACCUGUGUCAGUAUAAAUAGAAGUGAUAUUAUUCUGGCCUGUCUUGAUCCUCCAAUGUGCAUGAAAAUACUUGGUAUUUGAAUCUCCACAUUAAACCCAUGUAGCUUUGGAUUUCUGCCUCAUUACUUGCUCCUCCACAUUGUUCCGUUUUUCAAGUUCUUCUAGUAGACCUCUUUCAUCAUUUAUCAACUCCUGAGAAAGAAAGUUAUUCUGCAUUUGUAACUGUAGACUGUCAAGUUUUUCCCUUGUCUGAAUAAUCUGUUGUUUGUACUUGGCUAAGUGGGCACUUAACCCCUUCAGUUGCUGCUUCACUGCCUUCAAUUUACUCCAAGUCUGUUGCAUUUGUGAGCCAUGGUAAACCUUCUCCCAGACUUGCUUAACUAUGCCAUGAAUCUGCUCAUGUUCCAUUACAUUGUUAUAUAGCCUGAAAGGUUUAGGAUGCAAUGGUUUAU